UACGAAGGGGGCUAGCGUUGCUCGGAAUCACUGGGCGUAAAGGGUGCGUAGGCGGGUCUUUAAGUCAGGGGUGAAAUCCUGGAGCUCAACUCCAGAACUGCCUUUGAUACUGAAGAUCUUGAGUUCGGGAGAGGUGAGUGGAACUGCGAGUGUAGAGGUGAAAUCCGUAGAUAUUCGCAAGAACACCAGUGGCGAAGGCGGCUCACUGGCCCGAUACUGACGCUGAGGCACGAAGGUCAGGGGAGCAAACGGG
rnacentral:rRNA from 1 species